rnacentral:rRNA from 1 species
GAUGAACGCUGGCGGUGUGCCUAAUACAUGCAAGUCGUACGCAUUCUCAUUUCUGAUUGACGGUGCUUGCACCUAAUUGACGAGACAUUGGAAUGAGUGGCGGACGGGUGAGUAACACGUGGGUAACCUGCCCAGAAGCGGGGGAUAACAUUUGGAAACAGAAGCUAAUACCGCAUAAAAGUCAAAACCACAUGGUUUUGAUUUAAAAGAUGGCCUUUGUGCUAUCACUUCUGGAUGGACCCGCGGCGUAUUAGCUAGUUGGUAAGGUAAUGGCUUACCAAGGCAAUGAUACGUAGCCGAACUGAGAGGUUGAUCGGCCACAAUGGGACUGAGACACGGCCCAUACUCCUACGGGAGGCAGCAGUAGGGAAUCUUCCACAAUGGGCGCAAGCCUGAUGGAGCAACACCGCGUGAGUGAAGAAGGGUUUCGGCUCGUAAAACUCUGUUGUUAAAGAAGAACGUAUCUAAGAGUAACUGCUUAGGUAGUGACGGUAUUUAACCAGAAAGCCACGGCUAACUACGUGCCAGCCGCCGCCGUAA